rnacentral:rRNA from 1 species
AUUGAACGCUGGCGGCAGGCUUAACACAUGCAAGUCGAGCGGAGAUGAGGUGCUUGCACCUUAUCUUAGCGGCGGACGGGUGAGUAGUGCUUAGGAAUCUGCCUAUUAGUGGGGGACAACAUUCCGAAAGGAACGCUAAUACCGCAUACGUCCUACGGGAGAAAGCAGGGGAUCUUCGGACCUUGCGCUAAUAGAUGAGCCUAAGUCGGAUUAGCUAGUUGGUGGGGUAAAGGCAUACCAAGGCGACGAUCGGUAGCGGGUCUGAGAGGAUGAUCCGCCACACUGGGACUGAGACACGGCCCAGACUCCUACGGGAGGCAGCAGUGGGGAAUAUUGGACAAUGGGGGGAACCCUGAUCCAGCCAUGCCGCGUGUGUGAAGAAGGCCUUAUGGUUGUAAAGUACUUUAAGCGAGGAGGAGGCUACUGAGACUAAUACUCUUGGAUAGUGGACGUUACUCGCAGAAUAAGCACCGGCUAACUCUGUGCCAGCCGCCGCCGUAAAAC